rnacentral:rRNA from 1 species
GAUGAACGCUGGCGGCAUGCCUAAUACAUGCAAGUCGGACGAGGAUGUUUCUACAUCCUAGUGGCGAACGGGUGAGUAACACGUAGGGAACCUGCCCCUAAGACGAGGAUAACUACUGGAAACGGUAGCUAAUACUGGAUAGGAUAAGUUGACGCAUGUUGGCUUAUUUAAAGGUGCCUAUAAAGCACCGCUUAGGGAUGGCCCUGCGGCGCAUUAGCUAGUUGGUGGGGUAACGGCCUACCAAGGCGACGAUGCGUAGCUGUGCUGAGAGGCAGAACAGCCACACUGGGACUGAGACACGGCCCAGACUCCUACGGGAGGCAGCAGUGGGGAAUAUUGCACAAUGGGGGAAACCCUGAUGCAGCGACGCCGCGUGAAGGAAGAAGGUCUUCGGAUUGUAAACUUCUUUGAUUGGGGACGAAAUAUGACGGUACCCAAGGAACAAGCCACGGCUAACUACGUGCCAGCAGCCGCGGUAAGGAGUAGUACA